rnacentral:rRNA from 1 species
GUGAGGAAUAUUGGUCAAUGGACGAGAGUCUGAACCAGCCAAGUAGCGUGAAGGAUGACUGCCCUAUGGGUUGUAAACUUCUUUUAUAAGGGAAUAAAGUGAGGGACGUGUCCCUUUUUGUAUGUACCUUAUGAAUAAGGAUCGGCUAACUCCGUGCCAGCAGCCGCGGUAAUACGGAGGAUCCAAGCGUUAUCCGGAUUUAUUGGGUUUAAAGGGAGCGUAGGUUGACAUAUAAGUCAGCUGUGAAAGUUUACGGCUCAACCGUGAAAUUGCAGUUGAUACUGUAUGUCAUGAGUGUACAAGAGGUGGGCGGAAUUCGUGGUGUAGCGGUGAAAUGCUUAGAUAUCACGAAGAACUCCAAUUGCGAAGGCAGCUCACUGGGGUACAACUGACACUGAGGCUCGAAAGUGUGGGUAUCAAACAGGAUUAGAUACCCCUGUAGUCC